rnacentral:misc_RNA from 1 species
GAUCAUUAGAUUUAGCUUUAUUGCAUUACACUUGAUAGUACUGAAAUUCUCGCAAGAGCAUAAACAACAAAAACUAUUACAACCAUGUCAACUAAGAUUAAUGUUAAAACUUUCAACAACGGAUCUCUUGGUUCUCGCAACGAUGAAGAACGCAGCGAAAUGCGAUACGUAAUGCGAUUUGCAUUUUUUCGUGAGUCAUCGAAUCUUUGAACGCACAUUGCGCUCUUUGGUAUUCCAGAGAGCAUGUCUGUUUGAGCGUCGUUUCCUUCUCAAACGCAAGUUUGGUGUUGGGCGGUGCGUGAGCUAGCCUGAAAUAAUGGUUGUGGAGGCGCUGUAUUGUCUUCUGCGAGGUUUGUACUAGGAAUAAUACUUACUUGAACAGGACCAAAGACUACGCAGAGUCCCCCACUGAAUUUAUCAAGCUCGACCUCAAAUCAGACAAGAGUACCCGCUGAACUUAAGCAUAUCA